rnacentral:rRNA from 1 species
AACGAACGCUGGCGGCAUGCCUAACACAUGCAAGUCGAACGAACCCUUCGGGGUUAGUGGCGCACGGGUGCGUAACGCGUGGGAAUCUGCCCUUGGCUUCGGAAUAACAGUUAGAAAUGACUGCUAAUACCGGAUGAUGUCUUCGGACCAAAGAUUUAUCGGCCAGGGAUGAGCCCGCGUAGGAUUAGGUAGUUGGUGAGGUAAAGGCUCACCAAGCCGACGAUCCUUAGCUGGUCUGAGAGGAUGAUCAGCCACACUGGGACUGAGACACGGCCCAGACUCCUACGGGAGGCAGCAGUGGGGAAUAUUGGACAAUGGGCGCAAGCCUGAUCCAGCAAUGCCGCGUGAGUGAUGAAGGCCUUCGGGUCGUAAAGCUCUUUUACCAGGGAUGAUAAUGACAGUACCUGGAGAAUAAGCUCCGGCUAACUCCGUGCCAGCCGCCGCCGUAAGAC